CUGCGAUUGUCAGAGAAUGCAAGGAAGACUAUAGCAAGUCCCAUGACAGAUUGGAGCGAAGAAUAAAAAAUCCACUUGUGUCUUCCAAGAGUUCAGUCUUAGGGCAAAAAACAGAUGGGCAAACAGUUGUAGCCACAUGUAAUCAUUUAAAGGUGGUAAUUUUCAAAGACUGGUUAGGAUACAGGGAAAGCGGUACUUUCAGUGGCCUGGGGAGUCAGGAGAGGCUGCCCAGAUGUGAUAGGCUUCUUUAAGGCUUCCGUCAAGAAUAGAGUGACUAUAGACAAAUUGGGCUAGUCAAUGGGGAAAGACUACUCCUGAAGGUAGGCGAAGGCCCUGUGAUUGUGAAAGAGAUUAGUACAAGAGAGACUCCAACAAGUGUGGCGUAGGUGUGUGAGGACAAGGUCGGGGAAUGGCAAGAAGGAGACUGCAGGCUUGACAGAUAAGGCCUUGCAAAGACCUUUGGAUUUUAGCCUCUGUGGAUGGGGAACUUGUAGAAUUCUGAGUGGAGAGGGAGGCAAGAUCAAGUUCAGAAGAAAAUUUGUAGUAUGAGAAAUGGUUUAGGCAGGCAUUGGGACUUGAGUUAGGGAGACAGUUUUAACAGGCUGGGUGAAGUAUGAGGACCCGAGCCAUGACAGUGGCGCUGGAGAUGAGGAAGAGGCAUCAAAAGUAAAAGGUUCAAGAUUUCACUGUUCUAAAUUUAGAGGAACUAGGAAGAAAAAUGAGACUUUUUCACGAAGGAAAUUAAAGAGUUCAUGUAUCCAUCACCACAGUCACAGUCAAAAUACUGAAUAGUUCCAACAUCACCAGAAGCCCUCGUGUUGCCCUGCAUAAUUCCCUGGAGAUUGAUCCAAGUUGUUGUACGUAUCAAUAGUCUACUCAUUGCAUGUAGCUUUGAACCAUAUGGUCACAAGAUGGAUGCUGUGCCUCCAGGUAUCACAGGUGACUGAAAAGGAGCAUGGGAGAUAGUUGAAGACAUAUUUCUUAGUUCAAGAUAUAUUUAUGAGACCACACAAGCAAAAUUAUGACAGGUUUAGUGGAUUUUGGUACUUGGGCUGUCCAAAGCAUCAGACUCCAACAGUCUUCAACUGAUGAGCUGCCGUAAAGAGGCAAAGUUGCUAUUUGGCACCUUUGCAAAGAAACUUCCCCAGGAAUCUGGCUGGAUAACUGUUCAGGGCCCUGGGCUUUCCUGCUCUUUCCCAGACCCAGCCAGAGUAAAAGGCUGGCCUUCUCUACUUAGGAGCCUCAUCUUCUUCUCAAGGAUGACCGACGGUGGGAACAAGUGUGGUAUUCAGGAGAGAUCUCCUAUUUCCCACCACACAAAAUAUGAUGUGGACCCUGGCCGCAGGAAGCCACAAUAGUUUAGAGUUUCCAAAGUCUGACUUACCCAGCCUUAACAGGGAUCACAUGUGGCUCACUGACUGUCUCACCCAGC